ACGACAGUUAAGAAAGACGUUCACAAAACAUGGAGCUCAUUUCAUAUGAUUCUAUGAGAACAAGAAAGGCGACAGCGUUGUUUCUAUUAAUUCAAAUGGAACAAGAAGAGCAGCUAUUACAGGCUCAGGAUUUACUUUUACAAGUAAAAUAUUAUUUUGUGUCAAUUUUUCAUAUCAAGUAACAUAAUGAAAAUUAUAAACGCGCCUCGUACACCAAUACUGCAGGUACACCUAUAUAGGGAAACCAACUUUUUCUUCAUUAUUCUGAUUUUUU
rnacentral:lncRNA from 1 species